rnacentral:rRNA from 1 species
AACGAACGCUGGCGGCAGGCUUAACACAUGCAAGUCGAGCGCCCCGCAAGGGGAGCGGCAGACGGGUGAGUAACGCGUGGGAAUCUACCCAUCUCUACGGAAUAACGCAUGGAAACGUGUGCUAAUACCGUAUACGUCCUUCGGGAGAAAGAUUUAUCGGAGAUGGAUGAGCCCGCGUUGGAUCAGCUAGUUGGGGGGGUAAAGGCCUACCAAGGCGACGAUCCAGAGCUGGUCUGAGAGGAUGAUCAGCCACACUGAGACUGAGACACGGCCCAGACUCCUACGGGAGGCAGCAGUGGGGAAUAUUGGACAAUGGGCGCAAGCCUGAUCCAGCCAUGCCGCGUGAGUGAUGAAGGCCCUAGGGUUGUAAAGCUCUUUCACCGGUGAAGAUAAUGACGGUAACCGGAGAAGAAGCCCCGGCUAACUUCGUGCCAGCCGCCGCCGUAAAAC